AUUCCAGCUCCAAUAGCGUUUAUUUAAGUUGUUGCAGUUAAAAAGCUCGUAGUUGGACUUUGGGACGGGUCGGUCGGUCCGCCUCGCGGUGUGCACCGGUCGUCCCAUCCCUUCUGUCGGCGAUGCGUGCCUGGCCUUAACUGGCCGGGUCGUGCCUCCGGCGCUGUUACUUUGAAGAAAUUAGAGUGCUCAAAGCAAGCCCACGCUCUGGAUACAUAGCAAGGGAUAACAUCACAGGAUUUCGGUCCUAUUGUGUUGGCCUUCGGGAUCGGAGUAAUGAUUAAGAGGGACAGUCGGGGGCAUUCGUAUUUCAUAGUCAGAGGUGAAAUUCUUGGAUUUAUGAAAGACGAACCACUGCGAAAGCAUUUGCCAAGGAUGUUUUCAUUA
rnacentral:rRNA from 1 species